rnacentral:rRNA from 1 species
CCUGAUGGCCAUAGUGCAACGGAACCACCUGACUCCAUACCGAACUCAGAAGUGAAAAGUUGUAACGCCGAUGGUAGUGUGGGGUUUCCAACUAUUGGUGAGUUAUAUUUA